rnacentral:rRNA from 1 species
GCAGGCGCGAAACCUUUACACUGUACGCAAGUGCGAUAAGGGGACUCCGAGUGUGAAGGCAUAGAGCCUUCACUUUUGUACACCGUAAGGUGGUGUACGAAUAAGGGCCGGGCAAGACCGGUGCCAGCCGCCGCGGUAAUACCGGCAGCCCGAGUGAUGGCCGAUAUUAUUGGGCCUAAAGCGUCCGUAGCUGGCCGGACAAGUCCGUUGGGAAAUCUGUUCGCUUAACGAGCAGGCGUCCAGCGGAAACUGUUCGGCUUGGGACCGGAAGACCUGAGGGGUACGUCCGGGGUAGGAGUGAAAUCCUGUAAUCCUGGACGGACCACCGGUGGCGAAAGCGCCUCAGGAGGACGGAUCCGACAGUGAGGGACGAAAGCUAGGGUCUCGAACCGGAUUAGAUACCCGGGUAGUCCUAGCUGUAAACGAUGCCCGCUGGGUGUGGCGCAGGCUACGAGCCUGCGCUGUGCCGUAGGGAAGCCGAGAAGCGGGCCGCCUGGGAAGUACGUCUGCAAGGAUGAAACUUAAAGGAAUUGGCGGGGGAGCACUACAACCGGAGGAGCCUGCGGUUUAAUUGGACUCAACGCCGGACAUCUCACCAGCUCCGACAGUAGUAAUGACGGUCAGGUUGAUGACCUUACCCGAUGCUACUGAGAGGAGGUGCAUGGCCGCCGUCAGCUCGUACCGUGAGGCGUCCUGUUAAGUCAGGCAACGAGCGAGACCCGCACUCCUAAUUGCCAGCAGUACCCUUUGGGUAGCUGGGUACAUUAGGUGGACUGCCGCUGCUAAAGCGGAGGAAGGAACGGGCAACGGUAGGUCAGUAUGCCCCGAAUGAGCUGGGCAACACGCGGGCUACAAUGGUCGAGACAAUGGGAUGCAACUCCGAGAGGAGGCGCUAAUCUCCUAAACUCGAUCGUAGUUCGGAUUGAGGGCUGAAACUCGCCCUCAUGAAGCUGGAUUCGGUAGUAAUCGCGUGUCAGAAGCGCGCGGUGAAUACGUCCCUGCUCCUU